rnacentral:rRNA from 1 species
CCUACGGGUGGCUGCAGUGGGGAAUAUUGCACAAUGGGGGAAACCCUGAUGCAGCGACGCCGCGUGAGUGAAGAAGUUUUUCGGUAUGUAAAGCCCUAUCAGUAGGGAAGAAGAAAGACGGUACCUGCCUAAGAAGCCCCGGCUAACUACGUGCCAGCAGCCGCGGUAAUCCGGAGGGGGCAAGCGUUAUCCGGAUUUACUGGGUGUAAAGGGAGCGUAGAGGGCUGUGCAAGUCUGAAGUGAAAGCCCAGGGCUCAACCCUGGGACUGCUUUGGAAACUGUGCAGCUAGAGUGCGGGAGAGGUAAGUGGAAUUCCGAGUGUAGCGGUGAAAUGCGUAGAUAUUAGGAGGAACACCAGUUGCGAAGGCGGCUUACUGGACAGUAACUGACGUUGAGGCUCGAAAGCGUGGGGAGCAAACAGGAUUAGAUACCCUGGUAGUC